rnacentral:tRNA from 1 species
AGGUCAGCGGAGACCCGCCGCCUUUGCUUCCCAAGCUGAUAACGCGGGUUCGAUUCCCGUCAUCC